AGCAGCCAUCCUUUAAAGAAAGCGUAACAGCUCACUGGUCUAAAUAAGGGUUUCUGCGCCGAAAAUGUAACGGGGCUAAAGCCAUGCACCGAAACUGAGGGCACUAUUUAUAGUGCGGUAGCAGAGCGUUCUGUAAGCCUGCGAAGGGAUACUCGUGAGAGAUCCUGGAGGUAUCAGAAGUGCGAAUGUUGACAUGAGUAACGAUAAAGGGAGUGAGAGACUCCCUCGCCGAAAGACCAAGGGUUCCUGCUUAAAGUUAAUCUGAGCAGGGUGAGCCGGCCCCUAAGGCGAGGCCGAAAGGCGUAGUCGA
rnacentral:rRNA from 1 species